GUUGUCAGCAAACUCCCAAUGGUUAUGGGACACAUCGUGUCCUCCAAAUAGAAUUUGGAAGUCCUAGCCCCCAGUACUCAUGCAUGUGAAGGUGUUUGGAAACAGUCUUUGUAGAUGGUCAAGAUGAGGUCGUUAAGGUGGACCCUGAUUUAAUGUUAUUAUAGACAGCUAAGUUAGAUAAAGAUGAACAGGCAGUCAGAGAGGGGCCAGGCCCUCAAAGGAGUCAGUGCAGAAGAUGAAACACUUCAAAACUGUGGCCAGAAGUGAACUGGAAGAGAGCCAGGCCUGCAGGCCUCCCUAGGGGUAGACAGCAGCUUGAGAUUGUACAGCACCACCUGGUCCAAUGAGCCCAGAUAAGCUCUCAGAUGCACAGGGGAAAUCUGGACAGAGACAGAUGUGCAUAGAGGGAAGAUGGUGUGAAGAUGCAGAAUGGCACUUGACCAGGAAGGCAGAGAAUGGGAGUGAUGUACUAGGAAGGCAAAGAAUGCCGAGGAUUGCAAGGCAACCACCGGCAGCCAGGAGGGAAACCCAGAACAGCCUCCCUCACAGCCCUCAGAAGGAACCAACCCUGCCCAUCACCUUGAUCUGACUUCAGGCUUCAUAACUGCGAG
ensembl:lncRNA